rnacentral:rRNA from 1 species
CGCGGCCUAUCAGCUUGUUGGUGGGGUAACGGCCCACCAAGGCGACGACGGGUAGCCGGCCUGAGAGGGCGACCGGCCACACUGGGACUGAGACACGGCCCAGACUCCUACGGGAGGCAGCAGUGGGGAAUAUUGCACAAUGGGCGAAAGCCUGAUGCAGCGACGCCGCGUGAGGGAUGACGGCCUUCGGGUUGUAAACCUCUUUCAGCAGGGAAGAAGCGAAAGUGACGGUACCUGCAGAAGAAGCGCCGGCUAACUACGUGCCAGCAGCCGCGGUAAUACGUAGGGCGCAAGCGUUGUCCGGAAUUAUUGGGCGUAAAGAGCUCGUAGGUGGCUUGUCACGUCGGAUGUGAAAGCCCGAGGCUUAACCUCGGGUCUGCAUUCGAUACGGGCUAGCUAGAGUGUGGUAGGGGAGAUCGGAAUUCCUGGUGUAGCGGUGAAAUGCGCAGAUAUCAGGAGGAACACCGGUGGCGAAGGCGGAUCUCUGGGCCAUUACUGACGCUGAGGAGCGAAAGCGUGGGGAGCGAACAGGAUUAGAUACCCUGGUAGUCCACGCCGUAAACGUUGGGAACUAGGUGUUGGCGACAUUCCACGUCGUCGGUGCCGCAGCUAACGCAUUAAGUUCCCCGCCUGGGGAGUACGG